rnacentral:rRNA from 1 species
CAGCCGCCGCGGUAAUACGUAGGGUGCAAGCGUUAAUCGGAAUUACUGGGCGUAAAGCGUGCGCAGGCGGUUUGUUAAGACAGAUGUGAAAUCCCCGGGCUCAACCUGGGAACUGCAUUUGUGACUGGCAAGCUAGAGUCUGGCAGAGGGGGGUGGAAUUCCGCGUGUAGCAGUGAAAUGCGUAGAUAUGCGGAGGAACACCGAUGGCGAAGGCAGCCCCCUGGGCCAACACUGACGCUCAUGCACGAAAGCGUGGGGAGCAAACAGGAUUAGAUACCCGGGUAGUCCCUGUCUCUUAUAU